rnacentral:rRNA from 1 species
AGAGGGGGCAAGCGUUGUUCGGAAUUACUGGGCGUAAAGGGCGCGUAGGCGGCCUGUUAAGUCGAACGUGAAAUCCCCGGGCUCAACCCGGGAACUGCGUCCGAUACUGGCAGGCUUGAAUUCGGGAGAGGGAUGCGGAAUUCCAGGUGUAGCGGUGAAAUGCGUAGAUAUCUGGAGGAACACCGGUGGCGAAGGCGGCAUCCUGGACCGAGAUUGACGCUGAGGCGCGAAAGCCAGGGGAGCAAACGGGAUUAGAUACCCCGGUAGUCCUGGCCCUAAACGAUGAAUGCUUGGUGUGGCGGGUAUCGAUCCCUGCCGUGCCGAAGCUAACGCAUUAAGCAUUCCGCCUGGGGAGUACGGUCGCAAGGCUG